AAAAUAAUAAUAUAUGUCAAUACCCACGUUGAAAACGUAGCAAAAAGUAGGAAAAAAGUGCCACAAAUAUAUUCGUAGCAAUUUCGUAGCAAUCUUUGCUACGUUUUGCCAGCAAAGUGUCACAUUUUCUUUUUCGUAGCAUAUCGUAGGUACAUCAUAGCUUUUACGUUUUUGCCACGAAAUUCGUGUGGCAUGUUCGUGGCUGUAGCGAUGUUUUUUACUAGUGAUACCACAUUCAGUAGAUGAAUGGUUUUAUCCGGCCAUUUCACGACAAAAAGCUUUACUUAUAUAUAUCACAUUUAAAACAUAUAAAUAUGGAACCUUUUUUAACACCAAUUUUCAUUUAACUUAAAAUUCCCACAGAAGUGGGUUCAUUAUAUAUAGAAGCUACUGCAGACAAGGUUUGUUUUGUCAAAGAGUCAGAAAUUUUAUAUUAAUUUGUAUACCUUAUAAUUUUUACUAACCGAACUCUGUACCUUUGCAGUGGCAAAACAAGAGUUUUUUAUCAGGUGAUAUAUAUCUCUACUAUAUAAAAAUAGCUAAUUUGAAGGCCAAAGAGGGGUGCCACAUAGGCAAAAAAAUUCUCCACCAAUCAUUUUGCCAUGUCAUCACGGCCCAACAUUCAUCUUACAUCAAGCAAAGGUUUAAGCUCAUUCUUAUUAUUUUUCUUGCGGUCCAGUAGUCAUCUUGCAGCUUCUUCUUCGCGAACCCUAGGCGCUUCCUCCGACAUCAAGCUCUCGAAAUCGAUUGUCUAUCUCUCUCCUCCGGAAUAACGCAUGUAUCCUCAUCAAUGAAAACACCGAGACCUUCAAUGCUCCUUAAUCACCCUUCAAGACGAAGCUUCGUGCAUCCCUCCUAACCAACGAUUCCGAUGGCUCUUCAAGUAACCAUCAUUACUCACUCAUUAGAAACUUCCAACUCUCUGUGUUCCCCUCAUCAGAAUAUUUAUAUCCCCAUCAAUCUCCUUCUCAGUCGCAAAAUUUCAUUGACCCAUUCCUAAUAAUACCAUGGCUACUCGACAGUAAGACACCACUGCCAAUGCUCCUGCACUCUUCUUCAGUCAAGUGGCUGUCACAGGACCAUCCACUUCGAAGAUGCUGUUUCUUCAUUCAUGGGAAGCUUGCAACCAUGCCAAAGGAGACAUAUUGUUUAGCUUUCUGAUAUAAAUCAAUCCAGUAUUCAUCGUUUAUUAUUGUCUGUUCACCAUAUAAUAGGCAUGCUUCUUCUAUAUAUUGACUAAAAUAGUACUUUGAUCUUAUCUAUAGGGUAUUGUGGCACAAGGUUUCAUUGCUCAAAACCGUCUCGAGUGAUAUGAAAGUCGGCUCAAGCAUGGCUCCAUCUACACACUCCAACAGCAAGGCUAUGUUCCGUUUAGCUGAUCAGAAGCGUUUUAUUUUCUUUACACACGACUCUGUCCUUUCAGGGUCUGAAGAAAAUAGUCUCCCCAAUUUUGUCAGACCGAUUCAGAAUGCACUCCUUUACAGAUUUUGAAGCCAAUUGUGAUCUCAGAGGUGAUCUUCAUGAUGUUGUUGGCCACCUUAGGUUGGUUGAUGGUCAUCCUCUCCAUCCACGUCCAGUAUUAUGCAUUACGUAAGGCGCAACUUUAUGGAAAGUAUUGGCCCAUUUGCAGCUUAAAGAGUAAGAAAUUAUUAUUAAUGGCUUGAAGUGUAAUAUAACAUGCAGUUCUUCAAAGGUACAUUGUCUUAUUUUCUCAUACAAAUAAAUCAGUGAUGCCAUGUGUGGUUUUGAUAGAAUUCUUCAGAUCAGUGAAGGUGGUUUUGGUAGUGUUUAUAAAGCCAUCAUUAACGAUCCAACUGCAACUGGUGGAGAUUCUCAUUAUGUUCCACUUGAUGUCGCUGUUAAGAGAUUCAAACGAUAAAUUCAAUAGGUAUGUAUGUCAUUGGUUAUGCAUUGGUUAUGAAAACAAUAGUAUUCGAACUUUGUCCAAUAAAAAAGUUUAUGUUUGAUAUUAUUGAUCAUAUGUUUCUAAUAAAAGGGCACAAGCAAUGGCUUGAUUUAGUUAUUGGGCGUAGUUAAUGACUUAAACUUAGUGCGGCUCUUAGGAUAUUGCUCAGAGGACACAACGAGUUUUUUUGCUGUGGAAACAAAGGCUUGAGAUCAUGCUCCGUGCAGCUCAAGGAUUAGCUUAUUUGCUUGAACUCCAGGUAAAUCAACAAAGAAUCUGGUUUUACAACAGACCCUUUUCAUUGUUUUAUGCAUUAAUUAGAUGCAUGUCUCUUGACCAUGUAAUAUACGGAGACUUCAAAUCAUGAUACGUUUUUUCGAUGAUGAUUUUAAUCCAAAAUUAUCAGGCGUUGGUGUGGCUAAAGAAAGGUAUUGGAGACAAUACUCAUUUUGUUACUGCAGUAAGUAACAUGUCUACCGUCUCUCUUACAAAUUUAGAAUAUUAUUAGUUACUUCUUCAACAAGUAACCAAUUCACAUUUUCCAUUUUUCAUGAUUCUCUCAAGAGAGUACCGGAAGAAACGACUAUGCAUCUCGGGAAUACGUAGAACACGUCAUCACAGGAACCACAUCAAUGUAAAUAUCUUUGGAAUAGUUACGUACAUGAUUAUUGCUGGUCUUCGCACACUCAAGCGAAUGAAAAGAUUCUUUUGGAAAGGAUCAAACUAUUUUGUGUUAAUAUAUAUUAUAUAAAGCUUUGGAAUGAUAGUUGACUUUGAAUCUAUGAAACAAGUAUUUUUUUGGCUAUGGCUAGCAGAGUGGCUAAAGAGAAACCCAAACAUCGCCUUUGUCGUUGAAAGUCUUUGUAAGAUCAUUUCGGAAUCAAAUUCUGAAGAUAUGAAAAGUUCUAUUGGAGAAUUUACUAGAAGGGUUAUGAGUGCAAAAAUGAUUAUUUUCUAUAUUUAGAAUAGUAGAGAAUAAUUAUGGUUUUCUCUACCUUAUUUUACAAUACAAAACGAUAUGUUAAGUGUACAUUAAUAAGGAUAUUGCAUCAAUUAUUUCUCACCUAAACUCUCUAUCUCAUCUAUUUAUUUUGGGAGUGUUUAAAAAGUCUGAAAGACUCUCAUCAAAAAUUCUCAAAUCAAAGAGUUUAUAUAAUGUAUUCUAACCAUUUGUUUUGGAAAUAAUUAAAUUACUGUUUUGAGCAUUAAAGGCUCCCAAAUGGUACCCAUUUCGCUAUUAUACAUACGGACAUAUCAAUAUGAAGAUGUAUAUCUGAAUAUAAACGCUGCUAAUCUAAACCAAAAACGUAAUACUUUUCUAAUAAAUAUUUAUUAAUACAAUAACAUUUUUAUAAAGAUACACGCAUAAUUACCUUUUUAAUUAAACUUUGUUUUUUUUUUGCUAUUUUUGGUACAAAUGUUAAGAAACAAAAAACUGUGUUUCCUACGAAGGUCGAAGAAAUCAAACAUAUCUUAUGUUUAUGGAGAAAUUUGAAAUGUUCCAAUUCUUAAUCCAAUUGUUUCUAUAUAAAACCAAAUUCUAAAUUUUGUGUUACAGCAUUAAAGCAACUGUAGAUUUGAUUUUCCGCUACAAAGACACUUACGCUGAAUACAUUCUCUAAUCAAAAUGAAACUUGUUUUUAAAUACAAAUCAAAAUGAAACUAAUAAGUACAUUCACAUAUAAAUACGUCAAUACUGCUAUACAAAAUAAAUAUAAUUACAAAUUAUUAUUUGUUGAAUUUUAAACCACAAAAAUGUAACUCCACCAAAAAUACAAUAAUAUAUUUUUUAUAAAUAUAGAUUUAUCAAUAUGGUUAAGUUACAAUAGAUUACGAUUACAUGCUUUUAUAAUGGUUUGAGAAUAUACAUUUACAACCACAUACUAUACAUUACUACACUAUUAUACGGAGAAAAUAGUUAAAAAAUAUAUAAAUAAUACACAAUACAUUUAAUAUAUGUAAAUCACACGUGCACCCAUCAAUACUUGAGCAUCAAAAUAGAAAAGCAGAAUUAUGUUAGUCACAAACAUCCAUCUUAUUAUAUA